AAGGAGCUUGCUCCUUUGACGUUAGCGGCGGACGGGUGAGUAACACGUGGGCAACCUACCCUAUAGUUUGGGAUAACUCCGGGAAACCGGGGCUAAUACCGAAUAAUCUCUUUUGCUUCAUGGUGAAAGACUGAAAGACGGUUUCGGCUGUCGCUAUAGGAUGGGCCCGCGGCGCAUUAGCUAGUUGGUGAGGUAACGGCUCACCAAGGCGACGAUGCGUAGCCGACCUGAGAGGGUGAUCGGCCACACUGGGACUGAGACACGGCCCAGACUCCUACGGGAGGCAGCAGUAGGGAAUCUUCCACAAUGGGCGAAAGCCUGAUGGAGCAACGCCGCGUGAGUGAAGAAGGUUUUCGGAUCGUAAAACUCUGUUGUAAGGGAAGAACAAGUACAGUAGUAACUGGCUGUACCUUGACGGUACCUUAUUAGAAAGCCACGGCUAACUACGUGCCAGCAGCCGCGGUAAUACGUAGGUGGCAAGCGUUGUCCGGAAUUAUUGGGCGUAAAGCGCGCGCAGGCGGUCCUUUAAGUCUGAUGUGAAAGCCCACGGCUC
rnacentral:rRNA from 1 species